CUGCGCUGUGAUGUCCGACUGGAAAAAUUUCAGCUUUCAAUCUGUUCAGUGUGACAAGAGUGUUGCUUCGACACUCUGCAUGUUCUCCAACCGAUAAAUGCCAGCUGCUGUUGACAACACCACAACUGAAGCUGUCGGUGGUGCUGUGGCUGUAACAAAAUACCACUUAAGACCUUGUGUUACUUGUCGUUCAACGUUUUAUUUACUACAUCCCGAACAAUACAUUCCUUUUAACGUC